AUUGAACGCUGGCGGCAGGCCUAACACAUGCAAGUCGAGCGGAUGAAGGGAGCUUGCUCCUGGAUUCAGCGGCGGACGGGUGAGUAAUGCCUAGGAAUCUGCCUGGUAGUGGGGGAUAACGUCCGGAAACGGGCGCUAAUACCGCAUACGUCCUGAGGGAGAAAGUGGGGGAUCUUCGGACCUCACGCUAUCAGAUGAGCCUAGGUCGGAUUAGCUAGUUGGUGGGGUAAAGGCCUACCAAGGCGACGAUCCGUAACUGGUCUGAGAGGAUGAUCAGUCACAUGGGAACUGAGACACGGUCCAGACUCCUACGGGAGGCAGCAGUGGGGAAUAUUGGACAAUGGGCGAAAGCCUGAUCCAGCCAUGCCGCGUGUGUGAAGAAGGUCUUCGGAUUGUAAAGCACUUUAAGUUGGGAGGAAGGGCAGUAAGUUAAUACCUUGCUGUUUUGACGUUACCAACAGAAUAAGCACCGGCUAACUUCGUG
rnacentral:rRNA from 1 species